rfam:Camelus ferus unplaced genomic scaffold scaffold29918, whole genome shotgun sequence.
GAGGGUAUAGCUCAAGUGGUAGAGUGUACGCUUAGCAUGCACGAGGUCCUAGGUUCAAUCCCCAGUACCUCCU